rnacentral:lncRNA from 1 species
UUCUUUUUUGGAGAAAUGAAGAGCAUUCAUUAGGGAGGAUAUGGAUUUUGAGGAGGACGGUUGUUCUUGAGAGGAGGAACUAGUAAAGGAGGAUUCAAAGACCAUUAUGAGUGAGCUUGGGGGGCAAGAAAUCUAGGAUAACUGAAAAAGAGCAUUAAGAAGUUGAGCAAACUUUGCUUUAGAGGAGCUCUCAAGUAAGUUCACUGUGUAUCUCUCGUUUCAUCUUCACUACCAUUGUUCUUCAUCUUCUCCUCUUGUUGUUUAAGGCUUUGUUUUCUUGUUUGGUUAUGG